rnacentral:rRNA from 1 species
GACGAACUGUGCAAACGUUAUUCGGAAUUACUGGGCGUAAAGGGCGCGUAGGCGGCGCGAUAAGUUGGGCGUGAAAGGCCCGGGCUCAACCCGGGGACUGCGCUUGAUACUGUCGCGCUGUGAGUCCGGGAGAGGAUGGCGGAAUUCCCAGUGUAGAGGUGAAAUUCGUAGAUAUUGGGAAGAACACCGGUGGCGAAGGCGGCGAUCUGGGUCGAUACUGACGCUGAGGUGCGAAAGCGUGGGGAGCAAACAGG